rnacentral:tRNA from 1 species
CGAUCGAGCAGCGCGGGUUCGCUUCGUCGACGACCACGACGCGGCCGGUGCGCCCGGCACUUUCGAGGAUCGUUUCCUCGUCGAGCGGC